rnacentral:lncRNA from 1 species
AUUAGCAUUUGGGAUGUCACAAGUUAGAUGGCAUUAAUCCACUCAUAAUCGAUCCCUUCAACCAAGUGUUCACUCGUUAUCUCCAUCCCUCUUUUGACCUCUGAUCUUGUCUGUAUGAGCAUUCAAUAGUUUAUGCACUCUACCCUUUAGCUAUAAGAUACAAUGAUUUUAAAUUACUCAACAUGGAAGAAGUUAGAAGUUAGUCUAACCAUACACUUGCAACAAGAGACAACAAAAAAUGAAGAGAAAUUUCUUUAAGUGAAUCUGUCGAUGAUUAGCCAU